UUAAUUUUUUUUAUCGUAAAUAGGAAAUUUCCCAAAAAAAUAAGGAUAAUAGGAAGAUGCAAACAUUUCUUCACACUGGUGGAUCCAAGAGCAUUGCAAGAAAGAGACAUGAGAUGGAACAAGAAUGUGGUCGUAAAGUUAGUAGGGGAGAAGUAUGGAUAACAACACAUAAACAUGCUAAUGGAGAAUUUGUGAAUGAUGAAGCAAGAUAAAUUAGUGAAAAAAUUAAAGCAUAUGAAUCAAAUGAAUCAUCAUCUUCACAAGACAUAUCAACUCAAGAUUCCCUAGCACAUGCUUUAGGAAGUCAAGAACAUUGUGGACGUGUUCGGGGGAUGGGAUUGGGCCCUUUUCCAUCUCGUUUGUUUGGAUACACUAGACAUUCACAUAAUGGGAUGACUUCAUCUUCUUCUUAUAGACAAUUACAAAAUG